AGGAAGUUGGGGAGAAGCCCCUGGGUUUUGUCCCACUGGGGAGGUCCAAGAGAGUGGGGGCUUCCAGCUGUCCGGCCCUGUGGCUGAUGACUCACCUCCCAAGUCCCCUCAGUAUUAGAGCAAGCCAUAUUCCAAGGUUCCACUUGCAUGUGUAUUUGUUAGCCUAGGCUUCUGAAAGCAACAAGUCAAAAAGAACUGUUAGGUGUUUAAAGGGCAGGAGGUUCAGAAACCAUCCUUAAAGCUGAGGGAUCAAAGGCAAGAAAGAGGUUAGACUUGUGAAGAUUUAGUACCUCAGAAGAGGGUUGGAUGAAAGGGUAUUACAUCCAGUGUGUCUCUGAGCUCACAGGAAGAACUGGUGAUCAAAUCUUGAGAAGAGGGCCAGGCUCAGUGGUUCUCAACCUUCCUAUGCUGUAACCCUUUAAUACAGUUCUUUAUGCUGUGGUGACCCCAACCAUAAAGUUACCUUCAUUGCUACUUCAUGAUGGUAAUUUUGCUACUAUUAUGGUUCAUAAUGUAGCUAUUUGAUAUACAACCCAGGUGAAAGGAUCAUUUGACUCCCAAAGGGUUAUAACCCACAAGUUGAGAUCCACUGGCCUAGCUGGUUGUGGUGAGCUCUUGAGGGUAUGCGAUGAGACUAGUCUGUCUAAAGCCAAUUAUCUGGGCACUCGACCGUGCUGCUGGCAUGGGAAGGAACUGGGGGUGCCUGCGUGAGGAAGCGACACUAAAUGGAUGCCCUCAGGAAGAGGAAGGAAGCAGGAAGCCACAGGAGAUGAUCCCUGCCUCCUCCCCCAUCCAUUCUAUUCUUAGUGCCCUCUAUUGGCAGGGCCUACCUGGGAGCCUACUGCAAUUAUCACCUAAGGGAGCAGGGAACAUGUGCAAGGCCUUGGGUUCAGCCCCUUGUGUCACAGAAGAGUGCCUCAGAGCCAGACACGAUGCUGCAUAUGUAACCUCAGCACUUGGGAGGCUGAGAGAGGACGGUUGCCAUGACUUUGAGGUCGGCCUGGACUACAUACAGAAAAUACCUGUCACCAAGUGAAAGCAUGGUAGAAGAUGAACGGAAGUCGCACAAGGGGUAUGUGGAGCCAAAUAAACUUCAGUCAACGGACUCGCUUCACAUGCUGGGAACUUCAGUUCCUAUGCCAGAGUUUUGAAAUAGUACAAUUCUGCGAUCUCCACCACCAGACGGGAAUGAACAUGAUAAUUAACUUGCUUCAAGACUAUGAGGAAAUGAAAUGAAACAAAUUUUUUUCUUGCAACUGAAGACAGCCGUCUAAUGUCUUUACCGAGUUGCUUACAUGAAUAGGGCUUUCUCUUGUAUGAAUUCUUCUCUAUUACCUGAUGUCAAGAUGAUAGAAUAAGGUUUUAAGAUAGUUACAGGGUUAGAGACGUGACCGAGCAGUUAAGACAAAUUCAUUCCCAGGACCCUGGUUGGGAUUUAGACAUCUUCUAAUUCCUGUUAGAAAUCUAGGAAGAUUAUAGGGUCUAAGCUUAAGAAUAUCACACACACAUACACCCAAAGGUGCACCGACAUCACACAGUUAACAUGAAAAUAAAUGAUUGCGUGUAUUUUCA